UUCAGAAACUUAAAACAUAUACAUUUCAAUUUUGGGCUGAGAAGGCAUGAGGAGCAGAGGACAGGUACUGAAAAAGUAAUUGAAAAGAAAUAUGUGAUGUUGUUGAAUUCAGAUUCUACAUAAGUAAUAGGUUUUAUUGAAUGAAGUCACCAUCCUGUGCCAUUUGUGCAGUUACAGAUUUCCCAGAACUUAUUAGUAUUGCAUGUCUUCUGAUUAUGUGACAAUGAUACUUUGCCGUAAAGCUGUUUUAGGAAGGUAACCACAGUUCUGUUCCUCUGCAUGUCUUUAAAAUUAUUUUUAAAGGCAACAAAGUUUAGUUAAAACGUUGUUUAGUAAUACAAAACACUUUUAUUUUUUCAAAUACUAGGUGGGGGUUGGAGGCAGGAGAACAAUCCCACCCCCUGACAUCAAUUUUGUGCUGGCACAUAAGUAGCUGGGAAUCAUUGCAGCAGGAAACAUCUUCAGGGGUAGCUGUGUUGGUUGUGCAACAACAUAAAAACAAAAUCCACAGUAAAGGUAUGUGGAUUUUUGAUUUUGUUCCAUUUUCCACAUAUUUUAGUUUGUAACUAUAAGAAUGGGAACAUCGUCCACUCUUUAGCAGCUGUCUUUGUAAUAGUUUCAUCCUUUUCUCAGGAUGUUCUGUUCAUCACCAAUAGCUAGUAGACAUGCACUUUAAAAUGAUUGUGAUGGGUCAUUGCUCUUAACUGCCAGAAUGUUUAUUCAUUAAGUGUGAUCAGGUAGAUGAACAUUUGUACAGCUGAACUAUAGAUGAACUUCUCCACUUU
rnacentral:lncRNA from 1 species